AAUAGUGUCUGUGAGUAUAACAGAACUGAUUUGGCAGGCGAAAACCUGAGAAAAAUCCAUUCAGGAAGUAGUUUCUUUUUUGGUUUUGUAGUUUUCUAUUCAAUGCCAUUACAGUAUCCAUUGACUUAGGACUCAAAUUACAGUUCCUAUGCCUUCCACUAGAUGUCAACAAUCUUUAGAAAUAGUUUCAGGCUUGUAUUCUGAAAAAUUAGGAAGUAAGAUAUGUCGGAAUGAGUGGACCCUAAAGUGUCACAGAGCUUUUUCAUGCGCACGACCGAGAGAGUACCUUUCUUGUUUACCUUUUAUAUUGACGACGUUAUUGUCCGGUUUAAAUAUUAGCGAUUAUUUAGGCUAAAAACAACCUGAGGAUGGAAUAUAAACAUCGUUUGACAUGUUUCUAUGAACUUUACGGAUACAAUUUGGAUUUUUUUCUGCCUGUUUUGACUGUUUGAGCCUGUGGAUUACUGAAGGAAACGCACAAACAAAACAGAGGUUUUUGGAUAUAAAGAGACUUUAUCGAACAAAAGGAACAUUUAUUGAGUAAAUGAAUGUCUGCUGAGUGCAACCAUAUGAAGAUCAAAGUUUCACUGGCUGUUGAAGAGGUGGGACGCUAACGUCUCACGUACCCUAGAGAAGUUGUUCUUAAUGGACUUUCCUAGUUAAAUAAAAACACAGGACAGCCCUGUGCCCCUCUGAAGAACCAUUUUAUCCACUGGCACAAUGAAUGUUUCCUCCCCAAGUACUUCAAAUCCUGUCCUGCCCUUAGUGGAGGAGUUGGGCUCUUCUCCAACAUCAUCCAUCCAUUAUUAACUUUUUUCUGCACUGAAGCCUCUGAACACUUCAAGCCUGUCCUGCACUGAAGUCAAGCCUCCAAACACCUACUCAUGCCUCAUACAAUCACUUCUGCCCUUCCCAACAGUGUAAGUAGCUCUC